CCUACGGGAGGCAGCAGUGGGGAAUAUUGCACAAUGGGGGAAACCCUGAUGCAGCAACGCCGCGUGAAUGAUGAAGUUUUUCGGUUUGUAAACCCCUAUCAUCAGAGAAGAUAAUGACGGUAUCUAACGAAUAAGCACCGGCUAACUACGUGCCAGCAGCCGCGGUAAUACGGAGGGGGCAAGCGUUACCCGGAUUUACUGGGUGUAAAGGGAGCGUAGGCGGGAGUGCAAGUCUGGUGUGAAAGGCGGGGGCUUAACCAUAGGACUGCAUUGGAAACUGUAAGGCUGGAGUGUAGGAGAGGUAAGUGGAAUUCUUAGUGUAGCGGUAAAAUGCGUAGAGAUCAAGAGGAACACUAGUGGCGAAGGCGACCUGCUAGAAUGUAACUGACGUUGAGGCGCGAAAGCGUGGGGAGCAAACAGGAUUAGAUACCCUGGUAGUC
rnacentral:rRNA from 1 species